rnacentral:rRNA from 1 species
AUGGGGCCUCCACCCCUCCACACCUUGGCACCGCCACCGGAGCGGCAGUCUUCUUCACGGGCAAGGGAGCAGCAGCUCCAGGUCCAGGCUGAUGCGAUGAGGCUGCAGGUGGCCAAUAUUCUGAACAACCCUUUCUCGCUCGUCCGGUCGGGCCCGGCGAACCCAGCGCCUCAGCGGCAGUCUUCUUCACCAGGAUGCUACAGCAAUAUCUUCACCGGCAAAGGGCCCUUGUUCAGCAGCGCCGGUGCACGUGCACCCCAGGGUCACGGCAGUGCUGCCAUUGAUCAGCAGCGCCAGCUCGACCUCCUCCGCGGCCAGCGGCAGCCUUCUUCUUCACAGGCAAGGGCACCAGGAUGCUCUUCUUGCGGAGCGCGCGCCACGCGGGUUGCUCUCAAGAUGCCCUUUUGCGAGGCUUGCUUCAGGGAUACAUUCAUGGCGAACGCGCCUCCUCAGCACGCGCGGAUCGGCUCCAAGCUUCCGAGUCCAGUCCCCAGCUAUAACUACGCGCAGACCGGCAACGCGCGUCCGCAGCACACGCUGGCCGGCAAUGUGUCUUCGAGUCCAGUUCCCGCUCCCAGCAACGCCGGCGCGCCUCAGGGUCAGCAGCAGUACCGGGAUUCGGUGGUGGAGCUGCUGGCGGCGACCGAGCCUUCUCCUCCGGCGGGUUCUCAGCGUGCCGCCUAUUCAAGGUGCGAGGCUUGCCGCCUCUCCGGCGAUAAGGCGUGCAUGUUUUGCCACAACCCCGGCCCACCGCCGCCACCGCCAGGGCAGAGCUAG